rnacentral:misc_RNA from 1 species
GAGGGAGCCUGCUCCCGCUGGGGUGCGAAGCGCUCGCAGAUUUUCAGGGCUGCUUCGCAACCCAGCGGGAGCAAGCGCCCUC